rnacentral:rRNA from 1 species
AUUGAACGCUGGCGGCAUGCCUUACACAUGCAAGUCGAACGGUAACAGGUCUUCGGAUGCUGACGAGUGGCGAACGGGUGCGUAAUACAUCGGAACGUGCCCAGACGUGAGGGAUAACGAGGCGAAAGCUUUGCUAAUACCGCAUACGAUCUAAGGAUGAAAGCAGGGGACCGCAAGGCCUUGCGCGUUUGGAGCGGCCGAUGGCAGAUUAGGUAGUUGGUGGGAUAAAAGCUUACCAAGCCGACGAUCUGUAGCUGGUCUGAGAGGACGACCAGCCACACUGGGACUGAGACACGGCCCAGACUCCUACGGGAGGCAGCAGUGGGGAAUUUUGGACAAUGGGCGAAAGCCUGAUCCAGCAAUGCCGCGUGCAGGAUGAAGGCCUUCGGGUUGUAAACUGCUUUUGUACGGAACGAAAAGGCUCUGGCUAAUACCUGGGGCACAUGACGGUACCGUAAGAAUAAGCACCGGCUAACUACGUG